AACGAACGCUGGCGGCGUGCUUAACACAUGCAAGUCGAACGCGAAAGGGACUUCGGUCCCGAGUAGAGUGGCGCACGGGUGAGUAACGCGUAAGUAAUCUACCCCUGUAUCUGGAAUAACCCACCGAAAGGUGAGCUAAUACCGGAUACGUUUAUCUUGAUGCGAAUGAUGAUAAAGAAAGGUGGCCUCUUCAUGAAAGCUACUGUACAGGGAUGAGCUUGCGUACCAUUAGCUAGUUGGUAGGGUAAUGGCCUACCAAGGCGACGAUGGUUAGCGGGUCUGAGAGGAUGAUCCGCCACACUGGAACUGGAACCCGGACCAGACUCCUACGGGAGGCAGCAGUGAGGAAUAUUGCGCAAUGGGGGCAACCCUGACGCAGCGACGCCGCGUGGAUGAUGAAGGCCCUUGGGUCGUAAAAUCCUGUCAGAUGGAAAGAAAUGUACGGGUGUUAAUAUCGCCUGUAUUUGACGGUACCAUCAAAGGAAGCACCGGCUAACUCCGUGCCAGCCGCCGCGGUAAUAC
rnacentral:rRNA from 1 species